AAAGAGUGAGAAAAGCGCUUACAAUUUAAAUGAGACUGCCAAGCAUCUCUGAAGGAAUAUUUCAGGGACUGAAGAAGGAAUAAUGGUGCCAACUGGAAGGUGUUCACAUAUGGAUCCCCCAAGAAAUCCCUUAUGGAUCCCCCAAGAAAAUGCCAAGCAUGCUAAAGCAGAAUGACUUCUUGCUGCAGCCCAGACAGCACACCCUGGGAAGCUACAGCCCUCAGCACACCAGAACCAGACAUCCUUGUGCUCCAACAGACAGCUCUUCCUGCUGCUGGCCAGUUUAUGAGUUGAAGUGUGGAAGAAAUUGCUAAUAUCACUACAAAAGAAGAAUUAUGCUAAAAGCUUAAACUGCUGCUAAGUUGCAACCAUAGCCUCUUUCCAGCAGCAUGAGUGUAAUCUGCUAAGACAGCACUGCAAAUGUCUCCCCCACACAUGUGACAGCAACAUACAGACCAGCUUCAACACAGCUUCCUUCGAAGCAAUUGACUCCUUAUUUAAUGCAUCUAUCUGGUUUACUUCCUCUUAAAAAUGAGGAAUAUCCUCUGUCUGUUUAAUGAGACAUCAGCUGUCUCACUUAAGGUAAAUAUAUCCAUCUAUCUAUCACCAAUCCAGGAAGGAGAACCCACAGAGGGCUGCAGAAGACAGAGAUAUGACUUAGAAGCCAAGAGAGUGUUUUACAAAAUAUCACUACGCUUUCAUGUUUACGUAUGGUUAUUUGACAAACAGAGAGAAGAACAGAACAACAUCAAAUCUUAGCCAGAAUCACUGUGUUCCUAUUGCAGGAUUGGAGAAACAACAUUGGUUAUCUCUUGUGAAGCAGCAAAAACUCCACUGGGAAAGAAGGAGUCAGCUGGGAUUUUCUCUCUUCACAAAACUUUAACUGGAAAAGUUAACUGCAGUACAUAAUUAAGCUAUUUCAAGGUACCAGUGACUACUGAAGUGUUUCUCAAUAAAGCUGUUUUAUCAAGUAAUUUUUUACAUAAGUAAAAGGCUGUUCUGACUUUCAAAUUCCCCAUGAACACUCCUGAAUUCUCUCCAAACAAAAGCAGAACGCAUGUCUUCACUGACUUGAAUGGCCUUCCCUAUCUCCCCAGUCAGAGCUGAAGGAACUGACCUUGGCCCCUCCAAGUCACUCACAAGAUUCAACAGAAAAUAUUUUUGUCCAGCAAUCUGUGAUUUCAGGAGGAGAUUGAAUCAGAGGCAGUGCAUUUAUUGCAAUAACGAAGACAGAUUCUUGUCACUUGGCAUAGCGCAGUAAGUGGCCCUAGAAAGCCCCCAACGAACAUCUGUCUUGUGAAGUCACUUGGGAGGUCUGGGACUGCUGGGGUGGAAGGAGCCUGGAGCAUCAAUUACACAAACAGUUCCUCUUGGAGGAACCAUAAAACUGGGUACUAAGAAGACAAUCCAGGGGAGAUCCACAAGAAGGUGUGCAGCACCAUUUUUGGCCUUCAAGCUGCACAGCAAAACCCACAGUCCUAAGAAACCCUUACAGGGCUAGGAGGGGUGGUUUUCAACAACGAUGCUGUGUGACACUCACAGCACAGGUUUGACUGAAGAAUCACAGAAUUGUAGGGGCUGGAAGGGACCUCUAGAGAUCAUUGAGUCCAAACCCCGUGCCAAAGCAGGCUCCCUACAGCAGGCUGCAUAGAUUGGUGUCCAGAUGGGUCUUGAACAUCCCCAGAGAAGGAGACUCCACAACCCCCCUGGGCAGCCUGUUCCAGUGCUCCUUCACCCUCACUGUGAAGAAGUUCUUACACACGUUUGUGCGCAACUCCCUGUACUUCAGCUUGUGGCCGCUUCCCCUGGCAUAGAGCUCAUGUUCUAUGCAAUAUAGGGAGGGACAAAUUAAACCUUGAAUUAGACACCAGUAUUAUUAGACACUAGUAAAACAGAGACUUGACCUUCCAUCACUUUGAUUUCUAUUGUGCAUCUUGUACAGCAAAGCUCAGUACAGGCUAUAAAGACCUCCUUUCAGCUGGAAACUCAGUAAACCAACACAACAAAGCCAUUUACUACCCACAAGAAGAAUCAGGGACCAGACUUUGUUUACAUCUUACAUUUCCAAACUGGAUAAAAGGCAGCUUAUUCCUGAGAAGAGUUGCAAAUGCAUCACAAAGGACAUGCACUGCUUCAGCCUGGGCAGCUCUUUACAGCCAAAUAUGCUGGUGUUCUAUGCACGUGUAUGGGGGUGCAUGUAUUUGUGUGGGGGGGGCAUUUAAUGCUUGGGAAAGGGAGGAAAACCGUUUCCUUCCCACUAGCAUACUGCAGCCAAGAGACCACCUGCAAAGACGUUGGCUGCAGCCAUCCAGCUUUUCAUUUUGAAUGUGUGCUCAGCCCCUCAGAAUAAAAACAUACUACUCAGCAUCACUACUUCCAGACCUGGGAGCCACCACGAUUCAGUGUUGUUCACUGGCUGCAAAGAAUGGGGGGCUGACAAAUCAAGUCAAAAAGUCAAGACAGCUGCAGUUGCACUAUAAAGAAGUUAGUGCCAAGUUUUCUCUAUAAAAACAGAGCUUAAAAGUAAUUUUCAGAACUUGACUGGAUUUUCACCUGUAGUAUUCCACCUGUUCAUUUCAUAGCAACAAUUUCAAACUCUCACAUAAUGACAUGUGAGAUUUUUAAAGAGCUGAUUUAGUUUAUGUUCUACUACUUAUGCUUUGUUUGAUACCACUCCCCCUUAGAAUUUAUAUCAAGAAAUUGAUGCAGUGGCAAAUAAAAAGCGACCUGUAGAUCACCCAACCUGUUCAGCAAUUCCAUUUCACGCUGAAAGGCAGUUCAGGAAACUCACGUUUUGAGAAUGAAUUUGAAUGCAUACUGGAUCCUGUAGUUGUUCACAUUGUCCACAUACACUGACAGGGGUUCCUGGUAGUCACAAAACAUCACUUCUGCCUCCAGCAUGCCUGGCCUUGAGGCCUAUUUCUUCAGCAGUGACUACUGCCUGAGAGCUCUGAGAAGAGGAACCAUUUAGACCUGUGAGCUUCUUCACCACGUUAGCAGGGAGACAUCCUACAAGUUCGAGAGAGAGCCAGCACACUGUUGAUGGUUAGAAGACUGGAUUAACUCAAGAGAGUCAAAACAAACCUGACACAGAGGUGACAGUCACCAAUGGUUCAAAGCUACACUGUUUUGCUCAGCAGCCUCCAUUUAUCCAGCUGCAUUUUGUACUUACAGAAGUUCACUGCUCAGCUCACAGUUACUACCACGAAAAGAUGAAUCCAGGUGCUUUUCCAAACAGCUAAUGUAAAGGUCCAUUUUCUCAAGAGUUUGAGAAGUCUUCACAAGCAAGCUACAAGCUUUUAUUAAUAUUGAUCUCCUGACUAAAAAUAAGUUGUUAAUCAAACAAGUAAGCCAUCCAUACACUGAAAAAAAGUGAAAACUAACUGCAAUAGGAUCAUAAACACAAAUUCAUAUGAAAUAUCAGUAAAAAUAUCCAUAGAAUAAAUCUGCAAAACUUUAAUAUAAAAGAUUCUGUAUAACAUUUCAAUAAAGAAAGCCCACAGAGCAAGUGUUGCCCAGAACAGGCGCAGCAUAUACAGUAUUCCAAGACUUGGACACACAUUUCACACAAAUCUCGAGGACAGCAGUUGUGAAAGGCUGUGUUUCUAGCCUCUUUAAAAAGGAACCCAUUGGAUUUUUGAGUGACUUGACUUCAAGCAUUCAUAUUCAGAUCCAUCAAGGACUGGGUCUUAAAGUGGCACAUACCUCAUCUGAAAUAUACAUUGGUUCUCUAAAGUCUUCAGUCACGUCUUAUGUAUAGCUCUAGUUUUCAAGCCUCCCACUUAACAGCUUUAUCCUUAAUCAAAACAUUAUGAACAGUGCUCACAGCAGCUUCUCCAUGGACAUUUUGUCUAUACUGAGAUUGCAGGAACUUCCAUUAAAAAAAACACAUCAAUCUUAGCAGAGGACAGAU